rnacentral:lncRNA from 1 species
AAACCUUCCUAACCAAUGAUGAACCAGAGUGCUGUGACGUCCGGAGACAGGAGCAGUCCACCCCCCCACCCGGAGGGUCGGUAGAGAGAAGGGACAGCUGUCAUAGGACAUCGCUCACAGUGUCCUCCGCCACGAGACUGUGCAGCGGGAGGCUCAAGCUGUGUGUCCUUGUACUGAUUCUGCUGCACACGGUGCUCACGGCCUCGGCUACGCAGAGCACUGACUGCCUGGGUCUGGGCCGCAUUACCACGCUGGACGACAACUCCGCCAAGGAAGAGUGACCCGAGCCGCAGCCAGCCCUGGCCCACCUGAGAGAGAGACGCAGCCGCUGUCCGAGGAGCAGAAGCUGGGUGCUUUUACCCUCCAGUUACUUCUCGCGAGGUCUUUAGGGUAAAACUUCAAAAAGAUGGGCCUGAUUCCAAACGAGGACACACACACCGCAGCUUUCUAUUGACGGGAAGGCUGCCAAGGGACUUCGAUUUCUCACGCCAUUUUAUACACUGUGUUUUAAUGUUUGGAGGUUUUCUUUGCUUUCGUUCCGGUCUGUGUUUCUUCAUUUGUUUUCUUUUAUUUUUCUGCACUUGUUAAUUAAUACGGGAUUUAUUUGGGGGAUGGUUUCUCAGAGCUAAACCGAGUCUUCUCAGCGUCUGUAUGGCUCUCUCUUUCUAGCCAUUGUGUGUUCAUCGAUUGCUCUGUCUUUAUGUCCUGUCAGUUUCUAUUAGAGGAAUGACUGCUGUGACCUCGUGGUACAGCAGACAACAACAACAACAAAAAGAAUAAAAAAGAAAAAAAGACAAAAAAAAGAGAAAACAACAAAAAAUACAAAUAAAAACUCCCCUAAGUCUGUCCCUAGACCCCACUCCCUCCCUGGCUGUCCUUCCGGUCCCCCUGCAGCCCCGACACACACAUCCGCUUGGUUGUGCCUGUGGAGGCACGGUGGCGGGGCGGGUGUGCCCCAGACCCGCACACGGACAGCAAGGCUGGCGGGCGCCUUGCAGCUGAGCGGACGGGACGCCCUGUGACCUCGGAAUCAGACCGCCCUCGCAUUCUUAUGUUGAAAGGGGGAAGAGGGACAAUUUGUCAAAAGCCCUCAUGCACAGAGUUGCUCUGGUCUCAUUCCCACGCACCCCAGUCCUUUCCUACUGGCCGCCUAGGCAGGAGGCCCCAGCCUGCACAGGGGACAGGGAGUGGCCCCAGGACGCAGGGAGGCUCUGCCCACUGUGAGGUCGGCUCUGGUCACCUGGGAGCACAUUUUGGCCAUUGCCAUGAGAACAGAGGCCCAGGACACAAACCCAGACUUCUCUGGCUCCUGUGUCAUGGUGGAAGAUUCUAGAACUGCUCAAACAUCGGCAGGACGGAGGAUAGACACAGUUUCAUCCCAGUAUUUCCCCAGUACAGGGUUUUAAAUUACUCCAGGUCUAAACUGUAUGCAAUUCUGCAUCAUCACACAGGAAAAACUUCUUUUUUGUAAAAAAAAAAAAAAAAAAGAUCAGCCGUUUUUAUUACCGCGAAAAAACUUUAUCACUAAUGUUUAGGGAGUGGAGGAAAUGAGAAGUCUGAUCACUCUGUUUGUAUUUUAUUUUUUCUUUGUGGGAACAUUUCACCUGCUGAGUGUAUAUGAAUUUGCUUUCUAUAAAAAGGCUUUUAUGAGUUUACAGUAGAAUCAGUGGAAGGAAGAGUUAACAAGGGCUGUUUUUAAAAAACAAACAAACAAAACAAAUAAUUAAAAAAACAUUUUACAUUCCUUCCUGUUCUCUAUCUCCAUUGGGAAGUGCACUUCAGAAAAGCUGGCUGUGUGGCUGAGAGAUAAAGGAAAUCCACAGAAAAGGUCCUCUUAGUGAACAAAAUUUAGUUAUUAACUUUAUAGAUAUGAAAUUCCCCCAGGCAUUUGUUUUUGUUCAGACAGACUUUAUCCUCUGCAUCAAACUUAACCCUGCAACAUGCGUACAGUAUGCAUAUUUUGUUUUGAAUAAAAAAUGUUUUGUUCCAGUCUGUUAAGAAUAUUCAAAAAAAAUAAUAAAGGUAUUGCUUAAUAAAAUUGCUAGAAUUGUUUAGCAGUACAUGCACAAAUAUUUUACUAGAUUCUUUGUUUUAAUAGUGUUUUGUUGAGACUGAAAAUCCUAAAAUGGUCCUGCGCA